ACUCCUACGGGAGGCAGCAGUAGGGAAUUUUCGGCAAUGGGGGNAACCCUGACCGAGCAACGCCGCGUGAACGACGAAGUACUUCGGUAUGUAAAGUUCUUUUAUCAGGGAAGAAUGGCUUACGGAAAAGUGAGCGUGACGGUACCUNNUGAAUAAGCCCCGGCUAACUAUGUGCCAGCAGCCGCGGUAAUACAUAGGGGGCAAGCGUUAUCCGGAAUUAUUGGGCGUAAAGGGUGCGUAGGUGGCCGUUUAAGUCUUUGGUGUAAGUGCAAGGCUCAACCUUGUGAUGCUAAAGAAACUGGNNGGCUUGAGUGUGGUAGAGGCNAGUGGAAUUCCAUGUGUAGCGGUAAAAUGCGUAAAUAUAUGGAGGAACACCGGUGGCGAAGGCGGCUUGCUGGGCCACAACUGACACUGAGGCACGAAAGCGUGGGGAGCAAACAGGAUUAGAUACCCUGGUAGUC
rnacentral:rRNA from 1 species